UUCUCUGGGUUGUGUUCUUUUCGAGGUCCGCCAAGAUGCAGCUCAAACCGAUGGAGAUUAACCCCGAGAUGCUGAACAAAGUGCUGAGCCGGCUGGGGGUCGCCGGCCAGUGGCGCUUCGAGGACGUCCUGGGCCUGGAGGAGGAGUCUCUGGGCUCGGUGCCGGCGCCGGCCUGCGCGCUGCUGCUGCUCUUCCCGCUCACGGCGCAGCAAGAGAACGGCACCAAAAAACAAAAGGAACAGCGCAACCCACAAAAACGAACCACCAAGGGAGAACGCAGGAAGCACACCACCCGCAACGCCCCCCCAACCAUCGCACACAGCCACGCCCUGGCCAAGAAUCGAGACAAAACGCACACCGACCAGGGGCCCGACCCCAAACAGGUCCUCUCGAAAAAAGAGAAGGCGUCACCUCAAGACAAACCAAAGUGCCUUAAAAAGAAAAAAGAAACACAAGCACACCACCAUCACCCGCCACAGCAAGGAAAAUGGCGCAUACAACACAAAAGGAACGUCCAACCUAGGCUGUUCAAAAACGUGCACGCCAACCACUAG